AUUGAACGCUGGCGGCAGGCCUAACACAUGCAAGUCGAGCGGAGCGGCGGACGGGUGAGUAAUGCCUAGGAAUCUGCCUGGUAGUGGGGGAUAACUACUGGAAACGGUAGCUAAUACCGCAUACCAUCGGAUGUGCCCAGAUGGGAUUAGCUAGUAGGUGGGGUAACGGCUCACCUAGGCGACGAUCCCUAGCUGGUCUGAGAGGAUGACCAGCCACACUGGAACUGAGACACGGUCCAGACUCCUACGGGAGGCAGCAGUGGGGAAUAUUGGACAAUGGGCGAAAGCCUGAUCCAGCCAUGCCGCGUGUGUGAAGAAGGUCUUCGGAUUGUAAAGCACUUUAAGUUGGGAGGCGUUACCAACAGAAUAAGCACCGGCUAACUUCGUGCCAGCAGCCGCGGUAAUUC
rnacentral:rRNA from 1 species